GACGGAGGGUGCAAGCGUUGUUCGGAAUUACUGGGCGUAAAGGGCGCGUAGGCGGUCUGUUAAGUUCGGUGUGAAAGCCCCCGGCUUACCCGGGGAACUGCGCCGGAAACCGACAGACUCGAGUACCGGAGAGGAGGGUGGAAUUCCUGGUGUAGCGGUGAAAUGCGUAGAUAUCAGGAGGAACACCGGUGGCGAAGGCGGCCCUCUGGACGGAUACUGACGCUGAGGCGCGAAAGCGUGGGGAUCAAACGGG
rnacentral:rRNA from 1 species